CGCCUACACCGCCCUGCCCCUCCCUGCACGGCCGCGCUCCGCCUCCGCUCCUAUCUCAAUUUGAAUUGUCCUCCUGCAGCCCCACCACCCACAGUGGGGAACCGGUGAAGAGACUACAACUCCUGGAUGCACCGGGAGGCGGGUGUCGCCCCGCAUCCCCCCGCCCUGGGCUAGGCGCACAGCGCAGCCCGGAGCAGGCUGGCAUCCUAGACCCUCUGCCCUGCCAACAACACAACAACAGCCGGGGAGUGGACCUGACCCCGGAACUCCCGAAAUUUCCUGAAGACGGUUCCGCUCCCUGCCUCGCCCUUCCAGGCAGCCCAGCAGUUUCGCCCUGCGGAGGGAAGCCUUUCUGUUCUCAAAUCUCUCGUGCUGGGGAGACAGUGGAGCUAGGGCGGCUAGUUUCCCCUUGUAAUUGUGACACCUUGUCUCCUCGAGCUGCAGGCUAAUGCUUGUCGUGUUCGUAGUUUGAUUUCUCGCAGAUCAACAAAGGGCCGGUGGCCUCUCUCGGCCUCCGCGGGAGGGUUGCCAGGGUAACGCUCUUCCGCCAGACUUUGGGCGCGCCCCGCCCCUUUUCUCACACAGCCUCCUCCUCAGCCCCACCCUCUCUCGCUCCUCCCUUUCUAGUUCCCUUUCAGACAUGCGCAGUGCGGCCGUCCCUAGAGGCGGGUUAACGGCCGCGGACCUGGCAGUUCUCAGGCUUCUCCAAGGGAGAAGCCCCCUUGCCAGGGUCUCGAUUUCCCGCCAACCAACAAAGGUUCAUUUGCCUCUUAUGGCCUGCGCGGGAGGGUUGCCAUGGUAAUACUUCUCCGCCGGAUGUUGGGCGCACCCCGCCCCUUUUCUUGCCCCCCUCCCCCUCCACCCCGCCCCUUCUUGCUCCUCCCUCUUGUCACGCCCUUUCAGACAUGCGUAGUGCAGCCCGUCCCUAGCGGUGGGGUAAAGGUCCUGCCCUUUUACACAUGCGGAGUGCACCCGUUCCUAGGGGUGGGGCUAACGGGCCUACCGUUUCAGACAUGCUCAGUGCAGCCUGUCCUUAGGCGUAGGGUAAUGGUGGGCGACCUGGCAGUUCUUGGGCUCCUUGGGAUCCCCUCGAGAAGCCCCCUUGUUAGUGUAUGAAACCGUCAGUUCACUGCCAGUAAUGAAAACAUCGUGUCCUUAGUCACCUGCCAUUAGCCUUUUCGAAACCAUUUUUUCUGUUCCCUAAGCUGUCACAAAUCCUCCUCUGCAUCCCAGGAGUGCCGCUUGGUCCUCGGGCUCGCAGCGUGGCCCACACCUGGGUCGGGCCUCUCACGGGGACGCUCCCGCCACUGUGAUAAAGAGGAGAAAACGUCACAGGGGAAGGGCCUGACCCUGCUGCAUCCAGUAAGGAAACAGCCACAGGGAAGGGACCCCGUAAGCCACUUUGGGAGCCACAUCCACCACUUCUCUGACCCCACGCAGGCUGCUUCCCAGGCCUCAUGGUACUAGUGUGGACCUCCUGGCUGUGAUUAAUGCAGUUUUUUAGAUUAAGUACUGCACGACUACUCGCUUCUGAAACUGUCAUAAGAAACUGCCUCAGCUCCCUGCAGGGUGGACACACAAGAGCAGAAUCUCCGUGGGACAUCUCUUUGGAGCAUCAAUAUUACUACAGUAUUUGGAAGACACAAAUUUAAAUAAUUUCUAAGGUAAAGAAUGGAACAUUUAAGACAAGGCUGGAAAGUCAUCUGCCUUUAAUAACUCAUCUGUGCCUCACAUGUCAGACUUUCUCCAAGAAAAAAACUAAGGAGAACUUAUUUCCAUUCUUAUAAGUAGUAAAAAUAAUAAAUCAUAUCAAGUCAAUUGAAAGUCCUGUCUGCUAGUUUCUUAAAUCACAAUAUGGCCUUGGUAUGGUUUUAUUUGUAUUUUUGUGGGGGGUUUGUGGAUCUUUAGAUUAAAAAAGAAUUAGGUUUUUGAACAAUUUUUGAAAGUUUUCAGAUAUUAGUUGUUGAUUUAUUUUUGUAACCCUUUUAAUUCUUCUGACUCUCUCCUCUCCUUCUCAGACUGAAUGAUUCCAUGGGUCUCUAAGCCUCGGUUUAUUUUCUUUAAAUUUUGUUGAUUUGCUUUUCUACCCCAUUUAAUUUUUUCUGUCUCUCUCUUCUUCUCAGAAUCAAUCAUCCCACAGAUAGGUCUAAG
rnacentral:lncRNA from 1 species